UCGGAUUGCAGGCUGAAACUACGCCUGCAUGAAGCUGGAAUUGCUAGUAAUCAUAGGUCAGCAUACUAUGGUGAAUACGUUCCCGGGCCCUUGUACACACCGCCCGUCACACCAUGAGAGUUGAGAAUACCCGAAGUCCAUGUCAAAGUGGCCGAAGGUAGGCUUGAUGAUUGGGGUGAAGUCGUAACAAGGUAUC
rnacentral:rRNA from 1 species